ensembl:lncRNA novel transcript
GACACUCCCAUGAGCACUAGAUAUGAAUGUGGGUGGAUAGGCCAUGACAGCAAAUGGCCCUGCCUUUAUUACCUGACUCACUUGUACCACAAUAGUCCCAACAUCACUCACUCCUCAUUUAUUCUUUAGGGAACUAUUUGAACUCUUUCAGAAGACGGACUCCUCGAUAAAGCAGUAGUACUCCUGUUUCCAACAUUUCACAUUAUUAAAUGAAAAUGCAAGGAACGAAGAAGGGAAGGAGAGAAAGUUGGAGGAGGAGGAAUGCAUGGAAGAAGAGAAGACGAAAAGAAGAAAAAUACCUUCUCACUCCCACUUCUGCAAAAUCCACUCCAAGCAAUAGUAGUAGAGUAACAACUCAGCUGAAAAGUGGUAGCAAGCAAGACUAAAAUUUUAACAUAUACAGCAAUAACACUGACAUCUGUCUGUCUUAGCCCAAGUAUGAAAUUACAGAACUUAGCAGACAUGUUUAAAUCUUACACUCUUACAUACUUUUUCCACAAAUUAAAAGGAUAAUAUUGUUUGUGUUAGCUUACAUGGGAUACACAUAAAAUUAGAUAUUAGGUUAUUAGUGACAAUUAAUUGAAUUGUUUAAAAUAAAGAAACUUCUGAUCCA